UACGAAUGGAGCGAGCGUUGUUCGGAAUCACUGGGCGUAAAGCGUGCGCAGGCGGUCUUGAAAGUCAGAAGUGAAAGCCCCGGGCUUAACCCGGGAAUUGCUUUUGAAACUCCAAGACUAGAGUACUGGAGGGGUUGGCGGGAUUCCGAGUGUAGCAGUGAAAUGCGUAGAUAUUCGGAGGAACAUCGAUGGCGUAGGCAGCCAACUGGACAGUAACUGACGCUCAGGCACGAAAGCGUGGGGAUCAAACAGG
rnacentral:rRNA from 1 species